rnacentral:rRNA from 1 species
UACGUAGGGUGCGAGCGUUAAUCGGAAUUACUGGGCGUAAAGCGUGCGCAGGCGGCUUUGCAAGACAGAUGUGAAAUCCCCGGGCUUAACCUGGGAACUGCAUUUGUGACUGCAUGGCUGGAGUGCGGCAGAGGGGGAUGGAAUUCCGCGUGUAGCAGUGAAAUGCGUAGAUAUGCGGAGGAACACCGAUGGCGAAGGCAGUCCCCUGGGCCUGCACUGACGCUCAUGCACGAAAGCCAGGGGAGCGAACGGG